GGGACGACCGCCUUCGGGUUGUAAACCUCUUUUAGCAGGGAAGAAGCGAAAGUGACGGUACCUGCAGAAAAAGCGCCGGCUAACUACGUGCCAGCAGCCGCGGUAAUACGUAGGGCGCAAGCGUUAUCCGGAAUUAUUGGGCGUAAAGAGCUCGUAGGCGGUUUGUCGCGUCUGCUGUGAAAUCCGGAGGCUCAACCUCCGGCCUGCAGUGGGUACGGGCAGACUAGAGUGCGGUAGGGGAGAUUGGAAUUCCUGGUGUAGCGGUGGAAUGCGCAGAUAUCAGGAGGAACACCGAUGGCGAAGGCAGAUCUCUGGGCCGUAACUGACGCUGAGGAGCGAAAGGGUGGGGAGCAAACAGGCUUAGAUACCCUGGUAGUCCACCCCGUAAACGUUGGGAACUAGUUGUGGGGUCCAUUCCACGGAUUCCGUGACGCAGCUAACGCAUUAAGUUCCCCGCCUGGGGAGUACGGCCGCAAGGCUAAAACUCAAAGGAAUUGACGGGGACCCGCACAAGCGGCGGAGCAUGCGGAUUAAUUCGAUGCAACGCGAAGAACCUUACCAAGGCUUGACAUAUACGAGAACGGGCCAGAAAUGGUCAACUCUUUGGACACUCGUAAACAGGUGGUGCAUGGUUGUCGUCAGCUCGUGUCGUGAGAUGUU
rnacentral:rRNA from 1 species